rnacentral:lncRNA from 1 species
CCAAGUCCAAGUCUAAGUCAAGGGUUUUGAUAAGUCAAAGUUAAAAUGAUCCACUUAUCAUAAAAUCGAUCACUUUAAGAAUGAUUUUCCCGAGAGAAGGCAGGAUGAUUAUGUUUAGAUUAAGGUUUUCUUAGAUGACGAUAAUUAUGAGAUUUCAUGUGCACUAGUGAUGACAAGUUUGGAGACAUAAAAGAGUUGGGUCAUAGACUAAGAAUAAUAUAAUCAUAUAUGCUCAAGGAAACAAUACUUUGAGACAUUGAAGUUGAAAGAUAGUGGAGUCAUUCGACUCGCUAACAAUAAGGCUUGCAAAGUUGAUAGUGUUUGUACGAUUAGACUAAAUUUUUUUGAUAAUUGUGAGUUCCUUUUAUGCAAUGUGAGAUAUAUUCCUGAGAUUAAGC